rnacentral:rRNA from 1 species
UACGGAGGGAGCUAGCGUUGUUCGGAAUUACUGGGCGUAAAGCGCGCGUAGGCGGCUUUGUAAGUUAGAGGUGAAAGCCCGGGGCUCAACCCCGGAACUGCCUUUAAGACUGCAUCGCUUGAAUUCGGGAGAGGGAUGCAGAAUUCCAGGUGUAGCGGUGAAAUGCGUAGAUAUCUGGAGGAAUACCGGUGGCGAAGGCGGCAUCCUGGACCGACAUUGACGCUGAUGAGCGAAAGCUAGGGGAGCAAACGGG